rnacentral:lncRNA from 1 species
UGAAAAAUGGUUUUCACAAAAAUAUUAAGUUGCACAUCUGUUUUCAACAUUGAUAAUAAGAAGACAUAUUUCUUGAGAACAAGAUCAGCAUAAUAGAAUGUUUUCAGAAGUACCAUGUUUCACUGAAGAGUGAUGGCUGCUGAAAAUUCAGCUUUGCCACGCUAAUAUUUUUAUUCAAUGAGAAUAAGAAUUAAAUUGGUCAAAAGAUUUUAUAAAUUUCAAAUAAUGAUCUUUUGAACUUUCUAUUCACCAAAGAGUCCUGAAAAAUGGUUUUCACAAAAAUAUUAAGUUGCACAUCUGUUUUCAACAUUGAUAAUAAGAAGACAUAUUUCUUGAGAACAAGAUCAGCAUAAUAGAAUGUUUUCAGAAGUACCAUGUUUCACUGAAGAGUGAUGGCUGCUGAAAAUUCAGCUUUGCCACGCACAAAUAAAUUACAUUUUAAAAAUGUUUUUUAAUUGGGAAAGUUACAUAAGUUAAUUACACAAGAUUGUUUUUUUUGUUGUUGUUGUUUUUUGUUUCUGAAUAAAUGCCUUGGUGAGCAUAAAAGACUUUUACCAAAAUCUACAACAAAAAUCUUACUUUAAAUAUUAUUUUUCAUUAGAGGUCCACUUAUAAACUUUUAUGUGUAUGUGUGCUAACUUUCCCUCCUUCUUUUACCUAUAGAAUUUAACUGUCCUAUUUUUUUGUUACCUUUUAAGUAAUUCGGAUCUCAGGAGGUGGUAACCAAUGAGCAUGUUGUGGCCAUGAUGAAAGCUGCUAUAAGAGACACACAAGAUAUGCCCAUGUUUGAGCCUAAAAUGACCCGUUCUAAGCUCAAAGAAGUUGUUGAGAAAGGGGUGGUGAGUGUGAUUUAUUUAUUUUUUUCUUAUGAGAAAAAAAAAAGGUUUUGAGCAUUUUAACUCUUACAUGUGAGGGUGUUGAUAUUUGUUUUUGUUUUUUUAAGGGGAUUGGGCAAUUGGAACAUCUCUCCAAUAAAGAAGCCAAGUGAGAUUAAGGUAUCAGAUUGUUUGAUGUACCACUUUGAGAGAAAUUGUAUUGUUUUUUUUUUUUUGUUUUGUUUUUUGUUUUUGAUGUUCACUCCAAACUGGUAAAUGGGACUCUCUCCUUAGCCACCCCAGUUUGUGGACAUUCCCCUGCA